rnacentral:rRNA from 1 species
AGAGUUUGAUCCUGGCUCAGGAUGAACGCUAGCGGCAGGCCUAACACAUGCAAGUCGAGGGGCAGCACGGUGUAGCAAUACAUUGGUGGCGACCGGCGCACGGGUGCGUAACGCGUAUACAAUUUGCCUUAUACUGGGAGAUAGCCCGGAGAAAUUCGGAUUAAUAUCCCAUAAUAUUUUUUCACCGCAUGGUGAGAAUCUUAAAGCUACGGCGGUAUAAGAUGAGUAUGCGUCUGAUUAGCUAGUUGGUGAGGUAAUGGCUCACCAAGGCGACGAUCAGUAGGGGGCCUGAGAGGGUUAUCCCCCACACUGGAACUGAGACACGGUCCAGACUCCUACGGGAGGCAGCAGUGAGGAAUAUUGGUCAAUGGAGGCAACUCUGAACCAGCCAUGCCGCGUGUAGGACGAAUGCCCUCUGGGUUGUAAACUACUUUUAUUGGGGAAGAAACCCUCUUACGUGUAAGAGGCUGACGGUACCCAAGGAAUAAGGACCGGCUAACUCCGUGCCAGCAGCCGCGGUAA